rnacentral:tRNA from 1 species
AUUUAUAUAGUUUAAAAAAAACUUUACAUUUUCAUUGUAAAAAUAAAAUAAUCUUAUCUUUUAUAAAUA